rnacentral:rRNA from 1 species
GACGAACGCUGGCGGCGUGCGUAACAUAUGCAAGUCGAGCGGAAAACUUCGGUUUUCAGCGGCGGACGGGUGAGUAACACGUGGGCAACCUGCCUCACCAUGAGGGAUAGCCUUCCGAAAGGAAGAUUAAUACCUCAUAACACAAGAGAAACGCAUGUUUCUCUUGCCAAAGAAUUUCGUUGUGCGAUGGGCCCGCGGCGCAUUAGCUUGUUGGUGAGGUAACGGCUCACCAAGGCUUCGAUGCGUAGCCGACCUGAGACGGUGAUCGGCCACAUUGGAACUGAGACACGGUCCAGACUCCUACGGGAGGCAGCAGUUGGGAAUAUUGCACUAUGGAGGAAACUCUGAUUCAGCAACUCCGCGUGAGUGAUGAAGGUCUUCGGAUUGUAAAACUCUGUCUUCUGGGACGAUAAUGACGGUACCAGAGGAGGAAGCCACGGCUAACUACGUGCCAGCCGCCGCAGUAA